GGUGCUGUGGCUUAGCUGGUCAAAGCGCCUGUCUUGUAAACAGGAGAUCGUGGGCUCAAAUCCCAGCAGCGCCU
rfam:Danio rerio chromosome 4, GRCz11 reference primary assembly.